rnacentral:lncRNA from 1 species
GGAUUUGGACGAGACGUGUACGCUCGAAGACGUCAGAAAGUCGGAAUGGUAUUGCAAAGCGAAUAAGGGAUGAAUCGAGUAAGCGAAGCGAAGUGGCGAAUAGAGUAUAGCUAGAGAUGGUCUAGAGAUUACGAGAUGCAUAGAUUGUGAAAGUUGAAAGAUGAGGUUGAGCUGUGAAACUGGAGUCAGAUUUAAGGCAAGUAUCCUAAACCUUUCUCUUGGAUAUAUUGCAAAUAUUCUGAUCCAUUCCUUUGGUAUAUGUUUCAAGUAUUCAUACCUUUCUUUUCAAUGUUCUUCUGACCCAUUCUUUCUAAUCUUCAAGUUUCUAAAGAAUUUCCGUUUUACAAAUUAAUUCGAAGUUCAGAUUGUCAUUGAAGCAUGUGUUGCUCAGUGGUAGUUAGAGCUUUGAAUGAAUUGGGAUCUUCUUGAUUAUUCAACCCGCCAUUGUCAUGCUGGUUUAGCAGGCUAAAUUCAGUAAACUUAGCCGAUAAUGGAGGAUACUGAAUAGUUAGGGAUUUCCUGCGAUAAUGGAGGAUACUGAAUAGUUGAGGAUUUCCUGAACUGUGAUUUAUGAAAUGAUGGAUCAUGAUUUAUGAAUAGAUUAUUAUCAAAGUUUGAAUUGGAAUUAUUCUGUUGUUGAUAAUAUUUAUGAUGAUGUUCUGUUAAUUUACAUUGGCUUCUUGAAUUGAAUUAGAGAAUUGGAUUAUUGUUUUUAUAUACUCAUUGAUAUUGAUUGGGUUUAUGUUCUGUUGACCUGUUAUCGAAUUAGAGAAUUGGAUUAUUGUUUUUAUAUAAAUCUGUGGACCAGAUGAGUGGUCAUGUUAGGCCAAUGAGUGCCUUGGAUCCAGUGAUAGAGCAUGGCGGGGCCUGCUCGGGGUUAGUGCGGAACUGAUCAGCUGCCUAACCUUGGUUUUAAUUAAAAUGUGAUAGUCCAAUUCAAUAAUUCUUUGGAAAGAUUGAAUUUCUCAGUUUAAAUGCUGCAAGGUAUUGUAAAUCAUUCUAUACAAUACCAUGAACUCAUGAACUCAGGUUGAAUCCUCUUAUAUCUUGAACUCGUGAACUUCUGUUAUAUCAUUUCAGAACUAUCAUUGUUUAUUAUUACUUGCUGAGCAUUGUUGCUCACCCUUGCUAUUCCUUUCUAACCAUUUCAGAAAGGCUUAAAGAUGAGAUGAUUGAUUGAGAUUGUGAGUAAGGCUAAUGCUAGGCGAGGAGACAGAGUUGAGGAUCCAGUGGUCGAGGAGUGUUCAGGAAAGUUGAUGAGGUUGGUGCAAGCUAGAGCUGUGCUAUAGAGAUUCAAGUGUAAGUCAUAGCUGGAAUAGUUGACAGUGAUUCUUCUUAUCGAAGAUGAUCUGAUUUGGUAAGAGAUGUUGUGUAAUAAUAGUGGUAGAUUCUAAUUUCAAUACUGUAACCUGGAUGCGAUCCUGUUGCUUUUAGGGGGUUUAAAUGUUCUCUUUCGAAUCAUUUAUUAAAGUUUAAAUGUUCUCUUGAAAUUCUCCUAUUAUGGCUUUCAAGUUUGAAAUUCAGGUUUUGAAAUCAUUCGAUUUAUGUUCUCAUUCAAAUCUUUUAUUAAAUGUUUUCAGGUUUUAAAUUCUCUGAUUUUAUUAUCUUUAAAUAAAAAAAUAAAAAAAAAAUUUACAGGUUUUCGAAAGUGUUUUAAAAAGGUUUUUAUUUGCAAAUAAGGAUAAUGCUAGGCGAGGAGACAGAGUUGAGGAUCCAGUGGUCGAGGAGUGUUCAGGAAAGUUGAUGAGGUUGGUGCAAGCUAGAGCUGUGCUAUAGGGAUUCAAGUGUAAGUCAUAGCUGGAAUAGUUGACAGUGAUUCUGCUCACCCUUGCUAUUCCUUUCUAACCAUUUCAGAAAGGCUUAAAGAUGAGAUGAUUGAUUGAGAUUGUGAAUAAGGCUAAUGCUAGGCGAGGAGACAGAGUUGAGGAUCCAGUGGUCGAGGAGUGUUCAGGAAAGUUGAUGAGGUUGGUGCAAGCUAGAGUUGUGCUAUAGGGAUUCAAGUGUAAGUCAUAGCUGGAAUAGUUAACAGUGAUUCUUCUUAUCGAAGAUGAUCUGACUUGGUAAGAAAUGUUGUGUAAUAUUAGUGGUGGAUUCUAAUUUCAAUACUGUAACCUGGAUGCGAUCCUGUUGUUUUAGGGGGUUGAAAUGUGCUCUUUCAAAUAUUUUAUGAUGGCUUUUAUAGGGGACACAAGGUAUACCUGUCUGUGUGAUAGGAGUUGGAUGGGACGCCAUCACUUGUGUGUGUUGUGAUUACAAGAAGGUUAACAACCUUUAGUAGUGUCUAAUAUGGACACGCAACAUUAAGUUCAUUUGAUCGUAUGGAUCUCCCAGUCACUCUUGUAUUCCAAUGUGGCGUAUUUUGAAAAUAUCUUGUUCCUCCGAAAUUUCCAAAAGAUUGAUUCUUGGGAAAUGAAGUUUGCAAUUGUAAAAGUUUUGAUUCUCCUAUUUCUUUAACUGUAAAGGUAUGCCAAGGUUGAUUAAGGGCGGAUGAGCAUGUGAUAUUAUGAAGUGUGUACAAUGAUUUUACAAAUGAUACGUUUUAGUUUUUUCGCGGAUUCCGAGGGCGGAAUCCUUAUAAGGGGGGAAGAAUGUAAUAUCCCAUAUUAUUAAAUUUAGAUUUGAUUAUUAUAAAUCUAUUUGUCUAAAUAUAAUUGUUGGCUUUAAUGGAAUAGUGAUCUGAUUAUGUGAAUAGUGUGUAUGUGAUUAUAUUUGUUAUGUGGAUCAAUAUGGAUUAUACUAAUUAUGCGUUCUCCUUCUUUCUCUGAUUCCGAGGACGGAAUCCCUAUAAGGAGGGUAAAUUGUAAUGACCCGGAUUUUUAAAAAUAUUUUUAUUAGUAUUAAAAGUGAUUUUCUUCAAAGAAGGGAAUAAGAUUUAAUAUUUUAUUCCAGUUUAAGGAGUUUUCAAAAUUUUAUAUUAAACCCCGGGUUAUUGUGUUAGUGAUAAAUGAUUAUAUUUUUAAAACUGAUUUUCAUAUAUUGUUUCGAAAAUUCUGUAUGAAUAUUAUGUGAAUAUAUGUGUGAUGUGAGUAAGUGGUAUUGGUCGAUUUGUUGGUUAAUUAAUUAUGGUUAAUUAUUAAUAUUAUAUGAUUAAUAUAUGAAUUUUUGUGAAUUUUGUAUUAUCUAGUUUACAGAGCUGAAUGCUCAUAUGUGUUCGUAUUUGAGAGAUUUCAAUUUCUAUAUGUUCAGGAGAAAAUAUAGUUUAGUUGGAUAUUUUCAUAUCGAUUUAUGGAAUGUUAGAUGAUUUUAUAAUCGAUUUACGGAUUUAAUUGCGUAUAUUUAUAUUUAUUUAUUAAUUAUUUGACUUCCGUAAAACCGUCCACUCGUAACGAUGUAGCAAAUUUUCUUCCCGAAAGUUUCAACAAAACUGACCUUUAGCCUAAUUUGAAUAUUCCGGACACUUUUCGUGUUUUGACUUUUUCGAUCCGGAGUACGGUUUUCCCCGGAGUCGGUCCGGCGGAGUUUUUCGGGUAUUUUAAUUGUUGAUAAUUAUCCAGUUUGUCUCGAUAAACGUGAAACGAGAUAUUUUGAUUAUUAUACUCAUCCUUAUCUUGUAAUAAUUGCAAUGGGACCCGCAGACCAAUAAUUGAGUUAAAAAGCCCCGUUUUGAUGAUUAUCUUGAAAACCAGUACCGAUUGGACCCCGCUUUAUUAAUAUAAAGCUAUUAAAUACGUAUUUUCAUGUCAUAUACGAUCCAAAGGGGUACCAAUUAUUUGUAAAUAUAAAUAGACCUUUCUAGAGCUUAUUUUCACCCGUAAAAUCAUUUCACCAGUUUCUUUCCACGAAUACCGAGAGAAACCGAGCGGUGUUCUUCGUGUUCUUCAUAAUCAAACGAAGAUUUGAAGGUGUUAUUGGAAUCCGAUGGAGGCGUAUAAAUAGUCAAAACGAAGCUCUUGACGAGUAGAAUCUAGUAUAAUCAUCCGUUUAUAUGCAGAUUGAACAGGUGAUUUUAUUUGAUUUUUAUAAAAUUCGAAUUAUUAAGAUUUAAAUAGUGGAUUUUUGCAAACGUGUUUGUUUGAUUGUUUUGAUGAUUCCAUGUUGUAGUACAUGUUUUUCUCGUCGUUUUGGUAUAUUAUAUGUUGAAUUUCGAGUUCGGAAUCAUAUAGAAAAGUCAGUUUGAUUAUUGGGUUGUGUUCUUGAGUGUUCUUGAAGGUUUGCAAUCGAUUUUGGGGGUUUUUAAUCUGUUAAAUCUGGAUGUUAUUCGAAGGCACCAACACGUUUAGUGCACUGAGUAGAGUUGAUUGGUAGCUUCAGAUUGAGUGGAGGUGGUCGGAGGAGGCCUUGCCGGAGUCCGGCAGUCGAGAAUGAAGGAUGGAAAUCCGGCCAUUUGGCCUCGUUUCUUCAAAUUUUAAGCUGUAGAAUGAGUUUGUGGUGGUGUAUUUAUGGUAUCUGGAGUUGCUGGUGAUUAACGGAGGCCGGGAACAGUAGUUCCGGCGAGUCAAGGGGGCGGCGAUGGAAAAUUUCCAUUUAGCCCCCAGACUUUUGAAGAUGGUGAAGUGUGUGUAUCAUGGUUUCAAAACUUACACAACGGCCCCUGUAACUUUGAAAAGUUACAGUUUAAACCUUGGGCCAAAACUUUCAAAAGUUUACAAAAUAAACCUUUUGAUUUAAUUUUCUAAAAUUGUUUUAUUUAAUUAUUUUAAAUUCCAAAAAUAGUUUUUAAUUAUUUCUUUAUUCAAAAAUAAAUCUAAAUUAGUUUAUUAAUUAAUUUUAAUUAGUAAUUAAUUAUUUUAAUUGGUCAAUUAAUUUAAAUAUUAAUUGAUUAAUUAUUUUAAUUAAUUAUUAAUUGAUUUUAAUUGAUUAAUUAAUUGGAUUUAAUUAAUCCUUUUUGAUUUAAAAAUUCCGAAAAAUAGUUUCGAGCUUUAAAAUAUUUUUCCAAAUUAUUUUCAAGGCUCGAUAAUUGUUUAUGAAUGAUUUCAAGUCCAAUUUCAAGUAUUUGGGACUUGAUUAUUUAUUCGAAAAGUGAUUCUUUUAUCGAUUUUAAUUCCGAAAAAUGUUUAAAAAUUCUGGAAAAUUCCCGAAAAAUCAUUUUUAACCCAAGACUUGAUUUAAUAUCAAUUGGGAUGGGAAACCUUAUGUGUUGUGUGUUGUCUGCUAUUGGUUGGAUGUGUUAUGUGCCGAUAGGAGAGUGAGAAAACUGUUUUGAGCAUAACUUUUGAUCCGUAAGUCGGAAUCAGGUGAAACGAAAGAGAGAAGGAAGCUUAUAACGUCUAUUUUAAUAUGAUGUGACUAUAUGGCUGAGUCUAUAAGGUGGAUAAUUGUUGAUAAGUAUGCAGAAUGUGAUAAUAUGUGAUCUAAGUGCUAUCAAGUGAUGAUUAUGUGAAGUACGUGUUAGUUUUGAUAUUGUGAAGUGAUAAAUGAUUCGUAUGAUUGAUAUUGGAUAAGAAUAUAUGGAUUAUAGCUAUUGGAUUUUGUUGGUUGAUUAAUGAUUGAGAUAGGAUAAUAGGUGGAUAGUCUUAUACAUAGACGAGACGAUGUCGGAUUUUCGAUAAGGAUUUAUAUGAUAAUUGAUUGGUGAUAUGUUAUGUGGAAUAUGAUUGACUAUAUGUUAGAGUCAAAGCAUGCUUAUGUGUUACGUGGUAUCUGAUAAGUUUAAAGGGGUAUAUAAGUGGGUAUCGGUAUACGUGAUAUGUAUAUGCGAUAUAUUGUUUAGUGACUAUAGUAUUAUCUUAUUCUCGUAAAGGAUUUGGACGAGACGUGUACGCUCGAAGAGGUCAGGAAGUCGAAAUGGUAUUGCAAAGCGAAUAAGGGAUGAAUCGAGUAAGCGAAGCGAUGUGGCGAAUAGAGUACGGCUAGAGAUGGUCUAGAAAUUAUAAUAUGGAUAGAUUGUGAAAGUGGAAACAUGAGAUAGAGAUGUGAGACUGGAGUCAGAUUUAAGGCAAGUAUCCUGCACCCUGCUUUUGGAUAUAUUGCAUAUUCUGAUCCAUUCUUUUUAUAUGUGUUGCAAGUAUCCUAAACCUUUCUCUUGGAUAUAUUGCAAAUAUUCUGAUCCAUUCCUUUGGUAUAUGUUUCAAGUAUUCAUACCUUUCUUUUCAAUGUUCGAAAGUGCGAGUAUUCUGACCCAUUCUUUCUAAUCUUCAAGUUUCUAAAGAAUUUCCGUUUUACAAAUUAAUUCGAAGUUCAGAUUGUCAUUGAAGCAUGUGUUGCUCAGUGAUAGUUAGAGCUUUGAAUGAAUUGGGAUCUUCUUGAUUAUUCAACCCGCCAUUGUCAUGCUGGUUUAGCAGGCUAAAUUCAGUUGCUUAGCCGAUAAUGGAGGAUACUGAAUAGUUGAGGAUUUCCUGAACUGUGAUUUAUGAAAUGAUGGAUCAUGAUUUAUGAAUAGAUUAUUAUCAAAGUUUGAAUUGGAAUUAUUCUGUUGUUGAUGAUAUUUAUGAUGAUGUUCUGUUAAUUUACAUUGGCUUCUUGAAUUGAAUUAGAGAAUUGGAUUAUUGUUUUUAUAUAAACCUGUGGACCAGAUUCGUGGUCAUGUUAGGCCAAUGAGUGCCUUGGAUCCAGUGAUAGAGCAUGGCGGGGCCUGCUCGGGGUUAGUGCGGAACUGAUCAGCUGCCUAACCUUGGUUUUAAUUAAAAUGUGAUAGUCCAAUUCAAUAAUUCUUUUGGAAAGAUUGAAUUCCUCAGUAUUCAAUUGCUGCAAGGUAUUGUGAUUUUCUUAUACAAUACCUAAACUCGGAACUCAGGUUGAAUCCUUUUAUAUCUUGAACUCGUGAACUUCUGUUAUAUCAUUUCAGAAUUUUCAUUGUUUAUUAUUACUUGCUGAGCAUUGUUGCUCACUCUUGCUAUUCUCUUUUAACCAUUUCAGAAAGGAUUAAAGAUGAAUGGCUAGACUAUGAUUGCGAGUAAGGCUAAGGCUAGGCGAGGAUUCAGAGUUGAGGAUUCAGUGGUCAAGGAGUAUUCAGGAAGAUUUAUAAAGUUGGUGCUAGCUAGAGUUGAGCUAUUGAGAUUCAGAUGUAAUUCAUAGCUGGAACAAAUUGGCAGUGAUUCUUCUUAUCGAAGAUGAUCCGAUUUG